CCGCUUGAAACGCGGCCGCGCCAUGUCCAUAUUGGAGGUGUCUCGCAAGGGACUAUGGACAUAAACGCGCUCGUAAUAAGCGGAUCGGACCCGGGGGCGGUACCCGGCGACUCCACCAUAAAUCCUUGUUGGGGGUUCACGGGGUCGAAAGAGGAUCGACGAACGUCUAAAGGGGUUUGCUUUGUCCCGGUGAGGUACCACCGUUAUCGGUCCGUAAAGCAUAGUUGCCAACAACAAUCAUGCUCCGGUUGCAGUUGCCGCGUAAGCGGUAACAAGACCGAAACUUAAGCCCUGACCUCUAGCCAGGUCAGGCGGGGUCCGCAGGCACCUGGCAACAGAAGCCUGCAUU
rnacentral:tmRNA from 2 species